UGUUAAAAAUUUAACCUAUUCUUAUAGUUAAAAAUUAGUGUGAUUAACGGAAUAACCAAACAAUUACACCUGUAUACCAUGAGUAUCUCAUGUUGACGUAUAUGAACUAAUUUUUAACAAUAGAAAUAGAUGAGAUUUAUAAUA
rfam:Gossypium raimondii Chr11_contig_1287, whole genome shotgun sequence.